GAUGAAGAACGCAGCGAAAUGCGAUAAGUAAUGCGAAUUGCAGAAUUUCCGUGAGUCAUCGAAUCUUUGAACGCACAUUGCGCCCCCUGGUAUUCCGGGGGGCAUGCCUGUCCGAGCGUCAUUGCUGCCCUCAAGCACGGCUUGUGUGUUGGGCCUCCGUCCUCCUCCCGGGGGACGGGCCCGAAAGGCAGCGGCGGCACCGCGUCCGGUCCUCGAGCGUAUGGGGCUUCGUCACCCGCUCUUGUAGGCCCGGCCGGCGCUUGCCGACACAUCAAUAUUUUUUCCAGGUUGACCUCGGAUCAGGUAGGGAUACCCGCUGAACUUAAGCAUAUCAAUAAGCGGAGGA
rnacentral:misc_RNA from 1 species